rnacentral:lncRNA from 1 species
CUGAGCAUGGCGCUAAAGUUGAGUAGAACAAUUAUGAAUUAGGAUAAUUAGGAAACAACAAACUGGUGAAGAAAUCAUGAAGUGAAACGAGUUAUAGAAGACAGUAUGCAUUUUUCUCACUAAAACAAACUUGUGUACUUGCAUACUACUCUUUUUUAACUUGGACGGCACCUAGUGCUCAACUUGGACGAUGACCAGUGCUCAACUCGAAUUGAUGAGGUUGUCGUUGCUUUUUAACCAUGAAUGCUUCUAAAGACACUGGGAGUUGCUUCAAAACUGCUUUAUACUUUUUAACAUGAGGGUUCUCUCAAGCUGGGCCAAGAAGCAAUGCAUACAUCUUAUUUUUAUUCUGCAAGAACGAAACACUCCAACAAUUAACAACUAGUUUCAGUACAUGCAGAACAAUUUCAGUUUUGAGAACAAACUUCCAUUGAUGUGUUAAACUCUAAAAUCUGUAUAGAGGACAGGAUGGGUCUGGGUACUUAAAAAAUCUUGGCACGCUUUUACCAUGAGGCACCUUCUCCCUGAUGUUGAAUAGAAGAAUGUAGAUAAAGAAACAAUUCAAUUUUUUUCUAAAAUAAGAAUUGAACUGAACAAAAAUUAGAUAUUGAACCGAACUAAAAUAAGAAACUAGACUAAAUUAAAAUAAGAAAUGAAACUUAACUACAAUUUGAAAUUGAACUGAAAUAAAAUAAGAGCUUUUCUUGCAUAUCCUGACUUAAACUUUUCUCCUAGUGAAUUUUUUGUUGAUAUUUUUGUGUUCUUUAUUUUCUACGUUCUUGCCUCUGAACUUUCUCGUAGUGCAAAAUUUGUA